CACACACACACACACACACACACACACACACACACAUUAAGUUAUGGCCAAUUUUGAGCCUUCAAUGAACCUGACUUGCGUGCAACAUGCAAACUCCACCCCAAAUCUUGGCAGUGUGAGGCAGAAGUGAAAACUAAUGCAGUGCACUUUCCCAGGUUCUCUCUCAUUUUGGCCAAGUAUUAUAGUAUGGUUCCCACUCAAACCGGGAGACACUACUUCAUUACUUGACUAACCAACACACCAAGAAGAAAAAUGCUCUACUUGCUCGGGAUAGUUGUUGGCCUUCUUGUCAUCAUUAUCUGCUUCUCAAAAGGACUUACAGAGGCAAGU